ACUGAAUAGAUACCCAGGUAGUCCACGCCGUAAACGAUGGAUACUAGCUGUUCGGAGCAAAUCUGAGUGGCUAAAGCGAAAGUGAUAAGUAUCCCACCUGGGGAGUACGCACGCAAGUGUGAAACUCAAAGGAAUUGACGGGGGCCCGCACAAGCGGUGGAGCAUGUGGUUUAAUUCGAUGAUACGCGAGGAACCUUACCAGGGCUUAAAUGUAGAUUGACAGGACUGGAAACAGUUUUUCUUCGGACAAUUUACAAGGUGCUGCAUGGUUGUCGUCAGCUCGUGCCGUGAGGUGUCAGGUUAAGUCCUAUAACGAGCGCAACCCCUGUCGUUAGUUGCCAGCGAGUCAUGUCGGGAACUCUAACGAGACUGCCAGUGUAAACUGUGAGGAAGGUGGGGAUGACGUCAAAUCAUCACGGCCCUUACGUCCUGGGCCACACACGUGCUACAAUGGUAGGUACAGAGAGCAGCCACUGCGCGAGCAGGAGCGAAUCUACAAAACCUAUCUCAGUUCGGAUCGGA
rnacentral:rRNA from 1 species